GGGGAAUAUUGGACAAUGGGCGCAAGCCUGAUCCAGCCAUGCCGCGUGAGUGAAGAAGGCCUUAGGGUUGUAAAGCUCUUUCACUCGCGAAGAUGAUGACGGUAGCGAGAGAAGAAGCCCCGGCUAACUCCGUGCCAGCAGCCGCGGUAAUACGGAGGGGGCAAGCGUUGUUCGGAUUUACUGGGCGUAAAGGGCGCGUAGGCGGAAAUCUUUGUCAGAGGUGAAAGCCCCGGGCUCAACCUGGGAACUGCCUUUGAUACGGGAUUUCUGGAGUUCGGGAGAGGGUAGCGGAAUUCCCAGUGUAGAGGUGAAAUUCGUAGAUAUUGGGAAGAACACCAGUGGCGAAGGCGGCUACCUGGCCCGAGACUGACGCUGAGGCGCGAAAGCGUGGGGAGCAAAC
rnacentral:rRNA from 1 species